GGGAUAUAGUCAGGAGCUUAUGAAAUUAAGUAUUGAUAAUUUUAAUAAUUAUUUUAAUCUGGUUAUUUGUGUCGAUUUACGAAACAAUUUUAAGACUAGUAUAUCUAAAAAUGAGGAUAGAAACUAGAAGCUGAAAUGUUGGUGGCAACACUGUUGAGUGUUUCUAAAUGUUGACAGUUCUCCAUACUGUCCAAAAUUCGUGAUAAAUUUCUUUAAAAUGUGGAGCAACGUGGAGUGUAUCCCGUCUGAAGGAUGAGUUACGAAGAAGAAAAGCAGAUAGUUGGAAAAAGGCAGUUUGAAAAUAAGUUUCCUUCUUUCCGAUCUUUAGGGAUUAAUACAACACUAUGAGUUUGCAGUUAAACGCUGCGCAAAGGGUUAUAGUCUAAAAAUAUAACCAAAACAAUAUGUUUCACUUCUUGUUGUUUAUGGCUGCAUCGUUACUGAACGAUGAUCCUGCCAAUGUCAAAGUUCCGAAGAAAACUGUUUAUAAACGUAAAUAACCGGUUUUGUGUAAGAUAGAUUCUUCGAAGAGAAUGCUCGGUGGGUAGUCCACUGUUACAAAAGUUACGUAAAAGUAGGACAACACAAUGUUAUAAUGACAUCACAAAUAGGUUAGUAACACGUAGAGAGGUUAUGGAGAAGCAAACUUGAAGUAGGGUUACUCGUCCUAAAUUUUUAUAGUUUCAAGUUAUAACGUUUAAAACAAUAUGUUUAUUUACUCAAAUAGUACGAGGAACUGUCAAAAUUUAAGAACACUCGACAGUAGCGACAUCUGUUGGGAGAAAUAGGCAGUUUUUAUCUUCAUUAAAACUUUCGAUCCGUUGAAUCGAGUGCAUUAUUAAAUAUUAUUUUUAAUUUAAACAAACAAGUAUAUGGAAAUAAAAAGCUUAUUACAUUAAUUCGAGUUUAUUUAUUAAUUAUUAUUCAUACAUAUAUAUACAUACUUAAAUAGUAGAGCUGCGCCGAGUAACACUUUAGCUGAGUAAUGAGUACCUAGUUCUCGGCUCAUUUUUUUUUCAACCGAGUACUCGGCCGAGUAACUCGGUUCAAUCAAAUUCGCAUUUCGCGCGCGUAAACAAAUACAAAUAGGUUUCCUUUAUUCCCAUCUGCCCCCUUUAGGCUUGCCACCGGGGUGGUGGUUGGCACUAAUUAGGUGUUAUUAAUAUUGCUAAAUUUACAUUUUUUUAUUUAAUGUCGAGAACGACGUGAUACUGGACUUAUGAUGACCAAAUUGGAGAUGUCCUUAGAAAAGGUUCAAUACGAUCUACUCUGAACCGGCGUGCGUGUAUGAAGCGAUUGAUGAAUGUGGAGGAAGCAAGAGAAGUAUGUCAGGAUCGAAGCAAAUGGAAUUCUAUAGUCUCUGCUUACCCCGGUGGGAAAUAGGCGUGAGUUUAUGUAUGUAUGUACGACAUGAUAAUAAACCCCCGUACUAUAACUGUAAAGGGGGCAGAUGAAACGAUUAAGUGCCAUCGACCACCGGGGUGGUAAACGGCACCUAAUUAGUGCCAACCACCACCCCGGUGGCAAGCCUAAAGGGGUUAGACGGGAAUAAAGGAUAGGUUUGCGCCGGUCAAGACGUCGGCUCGCGUUGAUACACCCCUCACCCCACCCACGCCUUUCAACUACUAGUCACUUGAUUAUUUGCAAACAAACAUAUCACGUUGCGCGUCAUAGUAGAUAAAUAAUUGAAAAAGUUUGUUAUUUACCAAUGGCUGUAUAGUCGUUACUCGUUAUCAAAUAACCGAGUUAUUCGGCCGAGUACGAGUAUCAAAAAACCCGCCGAGUAUCAGACGAGUACUCGGCCCAUCUCUAUUAAAUAGCCUAUAUACGUCCCACUGCUGGGCACAGACGGGUGGGCAAAUUCCAUACAUAACCUAUACCCCGUCGGGGUAGGCUGAGACGACAGAAUUUCACUCAUCCUGACACACUUUCGCCUUGAUCAUAAUUUCUUUAAAAUUCCAAAAUAUUAAUAUACGAAAAUCCGUCCAUAUUUUUUAUUGUAGAAAGGAAAUGUAUCAUCCUUUAAUUCAAAAUGUUUUUUUUACCUAGUCAAUCAUUUAAACACAUCAUAAACAGUAUAUAUCUUCGACUAACAAUAGAGCCUUUUUGAAAAAUAUAAAUUCAAAAAUAUCUUCAUUCAGCAGGUAGCUUUAAAUCGUCAUUUGUGACAUAACGAACAUCUCAUCCGCCUAAAACUACUGCAGCUUCUCACAACCUGUACAGCCGGGGAAAAGAAGCUGCAAGAAAAACCUCUGCACAGGGCCCUAGACGUUCUUUAAAAGACCAAAAUACUGUUAUAACAUAAACAGCUUACAUACGUCCCACUGCUGGGCACAGGCCUCUCCUCAAUCAACCGGAGGGGGUAUGGAGUAUACUCCACCACGCUGCUCCACUGCGCGUUGGUGGAGGUGUUUGGACUAGUAACCCGGGACCAACGGCUUAGCGUGCCUUCCGAAGCACAGAAUCAUCUUACUUUUUCGGACAAUCAGAACGUCCCAGUGCUGGACACAGGCCUCCCAACCGGUGAGGUAUGGAGCAUACUCCACCACGUUGCGUUACAGUGUAGUCCUGUGAUUCACCGGUUUGCUUCUCAAACGGGGAGCGCGGAUUCGACCCCAGGUGGCGGACUUGCACCAAUGAGUUAUUAUUUUAUCAAGUGCAGUUUUCACUAACACAGUUGUCUCGACCAUUACAGACGGCGAUACGGCUCACCUAUCACGUUGGUCUAACAGAAAGCUCGGUGAGGUGUGGGUACUUAGUUCAUCUGCGAUGGAUGUACUUCUGACUACCCUUUUCAUCAAACUUUAAUCAUACAUUUUUGAUACAAUAAAAAUAAAUGUGAAAUCAUGUUGUAAGUAGUAUUAUUUUGUAUUUAAUAUUUUUUUUUUUAUAUAUAUAAUAUAUUUAAAAAAUAUAUGUAUAUGAUAUUUAUAUUACAAAUAUUGCAAUAUUUACAAGCAUGUCAUCCCAAGGACUAAAAACAUUCAUACUAUUGUAAAUACAUACAUACAUAAAUAGCCUAUAUACGUCCCACUGCUGGGCACAGGCCUCCCCUCAAUCAACCGGAGGGGGUAUGCAGCAUACUCCACCACGCUGCUCCAAUGCGGAUUGGUGGAGGUGUUUUUACGGCUAAUAGCCGGGACCAACGGCUUAACGUGCCCUCCGAAGCACGGAAUCAUCUUACUUUUUCAGACAAUCAGGUGAUUCAAGCCUGAAAAGUCCUUACCAAACAAAGGACAGUCUCACAAAGUGAUUUCGACAAUGUCCCCAUCGGGAAGCGAACCCGGACCUCCAGAUCGUGAGCCUAACGCUCUAACCACUAGACCACGGAGGCUGUUCUGUGAGGCUGUGUGUGAAAUUCUGAUUACUAAAGACAAAUCUAAAGCUGACAAAAAACGUUUUAUUUUUUAACUUACAUUUAUGAAUUUUAAUAAAGAAAAAAGUAAAAAAAAAGCGACAUUUUGUCACUUUCUUCUACAACGUCACAGGUUGCUUUUUCAUCUAUCUAUCUAUCUAUAUCAGCCUAAAUUUAUAUCCAAUUAUAUCGACGCUGAUAUUAUAUCCAUAUAAUAUCAGCGUCGUGGUUCACGCCGCGACUUGUGCUGAGUGAGGCCCUUUUAUCUCAGGACGUCCACCACCACCUAAUGGUCAUUUCGACAAACAUCCGUCUUGCUUUUUUGUAAUUGUUUUAGUGGAAAUUUGAUGUGAUGUUGUUGUCUUUUUUUUGUGUGUGGCGUCCUUUUAUAAUAAACUUUUUCUAUUCUAUUCUAUUCAAUUUUGGUCGUAGGCCUCUUCCAUGUUUAUCCAUUUCCGACGAUCCUGGGCUAUCGACAUCCAGCCAUAUCCUGCGUGCCGCGCGAUGUCGUCCUUCCAUCUCAUUGGUGGUCUUCCUCUCGGUCUUGUGAAUGCUUUUUCAUACAAAUGUGGGCUCAUGUCAAUGAACUUUAUUGAGAUCACAAUCAAUGUUAAUAUAUUUACAAUAAAUUACUUCAGUCUUUCCUGUUCACUCAUCGCAAUCAGUUGUUUUAUUCCAAACUCCACAGCUAGCAAUUAUCGAUACACUUCACACAUACAUUCGUAGUUACUUAUACUUAGUAGGUAUACUUACCUAUAACUGAUAGUGAACAGGAAAGACUGAAGUAAUUUAUUGUAAAUAUAUUAACAUUGAUUGUGAUCUCAAUAAAGUUCAUUGACAUGAGCCCACACAAAUAUAAUUAUAAUUUCGUGUUUUGAAUUUAGUAAAAAGCAACUGAUUUGACUAGUUGGAAAGUACCCUAUUAUUUUAACGCUAUUUGUCAUUACAGUGGGUUCUAUAUAGUCUAUGGUACGACGUACAUCGACAUAAAGUAACGUCCUUCAGUGGAGCAGCGUGGUGGAGUAUGCUCCAUACCCCCUCCGGUUGAUUGAUGGGACGCCUAUGCCCAGGACCGGGAGGUAUAUAGGCUGUUUAUGUAUGUACGUUACCCGUCCAUCAAUUGCUUAAAAUACAUUUAUUACAAAAUUCUAAAAAUAAAUUUAAAAAGUAAAUUUCAUUCCUAAAAUAAUUAUUUACGACUUUUUCCCCAAAAAGAAAAGCAUAUCAGAAAACGUGACUUUAAAAAUAUAAAUUAAAAAAAUAUCAUCUAAAAAAAAUAUAUUUAUUUAUUUAUUUAUAGCCUACAAGUUUUUGUUGUUAUUAUUUUUAAUCAAUAUUUUUUGUUAUAUUUUGUUUUUUUUUCUUUUUCAUAUAUUUAUGAACAUUUUCGUUAUUCGAUACACGACACGAUCUUUACAGCGAUCUAUUUUAGAACCUAAAAGUGAUAGUACGAAGAAAAACCUUUCAAUUUAGGUACCUAAACUGAAUAAGACUUCUGGCUACGUUCCCCAAAAACAGAUUUCACGUGAUAAUUACCUUUUUUUUAUUGCAAUGAAAUGAAAUGAAAAUUUACUGUCAUAAAUGUGGGAGGUAUAUAGAUGGAAGUGAAGCUUAUAGCGUUCAGCACAUUUAGUCACGUUGUGACAUACAAUAAUAAUUACAUAAAUAACAGAAAGAACAAUAGUAUUGCUCGGGUACAUAAUAAUUAUUCAAAUAUAUAAUGAAAUGGCAGCAGCAUAUAUAAAUAUAUAGGAUUAUUGCUACCUAUAUUGUUUCUCUUUAGUUUGAUCAGAAUAAUAAUGGAUGGAAGAUAAAAAACAAAGAUCUUUCAUCUUUUUCAUGCAUAAUGUCCGUGAAAUUAGAAGGGUAAACGAAGGCAAAACUGAACAGCGCCAUCUAUGAUUUUUUUGAGAACGUAGCCUGGAAAAAUCGUAAACUUAUGCAAUAGAUAAUAUUGUUAUGAAGGAUAUACAAUGCAUUUAUUUAAUGACUGUUUUUGUCUAUGGCAUUCCACUUUUUUUCUUUUAUUAUUGGAUGGAUUCGAAAAAAUAUACGUUUUUUUAUUAGUUUAAAUAUGUAUUCGUUAUCACAUUAGAUGAUUUGAAGUUUUUCUUUAUUAUACAGGGUGUAGAUAAUUCUUUGCUAUGUUUUAACUUUUUUUUCUAAAAAAUAUCUGUUUUGUAAUAGCAAUUUUAAGAGUAAAAUUUUCCGAUAAAAAAAUAGUUUUAAGUGCAUUUUUCCUGCAUAGUUAGUUUUAAUUUUAAUUAUUAUGUUAAUAUUAGUAAAAAAAUGUAUAUAGUUAUAAUAAUAUAUUAAGUUGCACAUAUGUGUAUAUGACGAACUAUCAAAGAAAAAUAAUAUUUAUUCCAAACACUUUAGUAAAUAUUCCAUUUUUGAAAAUAAAAGUUAAAUAUAUUAAUUAUUUUUAAGUUCUAGAUAGUUAUUGUACAUAGUAAAAUAAAGUGUAGAUUUUUUCUUAAAAAAAAUUAAAAUCAAAUGCAAUUGUAAUAUACACACUGCGCGUAUUGUAAUUAACAUACGUAGUUUUUUAAUUGAACAUAAUACAUAAAGACAAACGCUUAAAAUUGUUUAAAGGUACAAUUAAAAAAAAUAUUUUUUUUAAGAUUUUUUUUAAAUCGGCUAGAUUUUCAUACCGCCAUAUUGUUUUUAUUAUUGUUUUUAUAUUUCAUUACUCCACUACGAUUUGACAUGGCUUUUUCAUGGGUAAAAUUUUUAUCCUGUAGUCUAAUGUUCUCCCAUAUAAGUUUUGAGUUCAAUGACCAACCACAUCAACUCUUGUGUCGUGUUUAUAGUCUAACAAGAACAAUAAAAGUGAACAAUUAUCGAACAAUUUCUUUUUUUAAGGAUUUUUUGCCAUUUUACUUUGGCAACACCGAGGAUAAUAAUCACAUAGGUGAUUGCAUGAUUCCAUAAUUACUUUUUUUAUAUAUGUUUUUUUCUGGUUUUUUUUUUCAUCGAUUUAUCUGUUAGUUUUUAAUAUUAUUCCCAAACUACUUUUAGUAAUUUAAGUAUAUUUAAAUACUUAAAACUUGUAUUGUGUUCAAUGAAAAACAAAAUGGUUGUUAAUAUUGACAACAAUUUUGUAAAGAUAUUUGAAAAUCUAUUGAGAAAAACACAUUAUGAAAUUUUGAUUACUAAAUAAACAUCUAAAGGCUUAUUUAUGAAUUUUAAUAAAGAAAAAUAUAAUUUGUUCAACCCUCAUCACAAAUGCCAAAGUCUUUUAAAGAUGUUUCGAGGUACCGAACUGAGCAUAGUACCUCGUUAGCCACAAGUUGGUAGUGUGACUAGGGAUCGACGAUCCAACAGUGUUACGUUGGAAGUCGUAUAUAUGCGUCGCGCUGUGAAAACUUCGUUAGCGCGUUUCAGGACCGAUGAGCGCCAUCUGUGUUGUAUGGGAUGAACUAGCUGGUACUAGUUGGGUCCGCAACAUGUCGAUUUUUAGUUUUUCUCAAGCGAUUUUCUAAAUGUAAGAUAACAUAAGCCAUAAGAUAUCCUAGAGCCAUGUUAUCAAAGCUAGAUAAACUGUAAAUAAUAUUUUAAUAAAUUCAAUUCCAUUACGUUA